AUGGGCGGCGUGGGAGGAGUUCUGGUCCCUGAGGCUACACGAGCUUGCUUUUCCCCUUGGGGCCUGAGUCGGGAUCCGUGGGCCCCGCCAGAGGAUGGGAAGAGGUGGGGACAACAAUCUCUUCCUCAGAGCCUUCCUUCCUCGCAGCUCCAGCAGCCCUCCGCAACCAGGCUGGGCUGUUGUAGCAACAGCCCGCCCGGCGACCGGGCCAACCAAUGGCGGCCAGUUCUGGUGAGGGCCUCGGCGACUCCUAACCGCCCUUCUGUCUCUGGGCCUCUGAGUGUGGCUCCUGUCCUCUCCAAACAAGGGCGCAGUGAGCGCGCCUUGACUUGCCGCCAGAAGGUGACUCACCGCCUCAAACCGCAAGGCUGGCCUGGCCAAUCUCAGGGACACCUUCUUCCCGAGGGUGUUGGGAAGCUGCGGUCUGAAGACGUCGCUGAGGUCUGGGCUCGGCCUUUCCCUGGUCCUGCUCGAAGACGUUUGUGCAGGGCACAGGCAGGACUGUCUGCGCUUUGACGUAGAAGAAUGUCAUGAGCCUCAGUCAUUACAGUAGGGAAGUGAGACAGCUGGAGGAACUUUCAGAAAACCAGUGUGUGGGCGCUGGAACGAGCGAAAUAAAACAGGUCGUUGGAUUUUCACUUUAUCCUUCCGGUUUUUUGGUCCAUCUAUCAACACGACGUACUGAGCCUGAGCUCUUUUGGCAUUGGCGCAUUCCCCA
ensembl:lincRNA